rnacentral:rRNA from 1 species
CAUGUGGUUUAAUUCGAAGCAACGCGAAGAACCUUACCAGGUCUUGACAUCCUCUGACAAUCCUAGAGAUAGGACGUCCCCUUCGGGGGCAGAGUGACAGGUGGUGCAUGGUUGUCGUCAGCUCGUGUCGUGAGAUGUUGGGUUAAGUCCCGCAACGAGCGCAACCCUUGAUCUUAGUUGCCAGCAUUCAGUUGGGCACUCUAAGGUGACUGCCGGUGACAAACCGGAGGAAGGUGGGGAUGACGUCAAAUCAUCAUGCCCCUUAUGACCUGGGCUACACACGUGCUACAAUGGGCAGAACAAAGGGCAGCGAAACCGCGAGGUUAAGCCAAUCCCACAAAUCUGUUCUCAGUUCGGAUCGCAGUCUGCAACUCGACUGCGUGAAGCUGGAAUCGCUAGUAAUCGCGGAUCAGCAUGCCGCGGUGAAUACGUUCCCGGGCCUUGUACACACCGCCCGUCACACCAGGAGAGUUUGUAACACCCGAAGUCGGUGAGGUAACCU